AAAAAAAAUAAAAAAUGAUCAAUCCAAAAAUGAUAAGAAGGAAAUUCGUGGCUAUCAGGCAAAAGAGACUUACAAUUUCAAGUAGCACAAAGGAUGAAGAUAAAGAAGCAAGGAGCUCAUCAUCAACAGUUGAUAAAGGCCAUUUUACUAUAUACACUUGUGAUCAUAGAAAGUUUGUGUCCCUUGGCUUAUCUUGAGUGUUAAUGAGGUUAAAUAAGAUUAUGG
rnacentral:lncRNA from 1 species